AGAAGCUGGAACAUCACUGCUGUGAAGGGCUGCUGUGAGAAAACCACCCUGAAGGAAUGCACAAAGCACCCAAGGAAGAAAAUGAGGGCAGCAGAACACCCUCUGCAUUGGUUUUGUGUGUGCAGAAAAAAUCUGAAGGCCUGAACAGGUACUGAGAAGUGAUAGGUCUGAUAUUCAGCAACUGCUCAAGAGCAAGGCAAUCCCCUGCAAGUGUCUGAGGACAAGAACAAAGAAUUACCUCCUUGCCAUGUCCCAGUGGUGAGGACAUGAAGAAGGGGUCAUUGGGACAACCUUUGAUGCCCCCAGUAGACAAGGCAGGAAUCCCUCCUGUAAGGGUCUCUGCAAAGCUCUCCCCAGCUGGAUUUGUAGGAAUCCUGGGAGAUGAGGAGCACUCACUUGAACACGGUGGCGAAAGCCGCGACCCUCCAGCUCCAGCGCCAGCCGUAGCGGAUGAAGCUGCGCAGACCCGCGCGGUGUGCCGAUUGCUGAGGGGACAGAGAGGACAUGUCACAGCUCACAGCCCCCUGCCAGCACCCGGCAGGCCAGGGCAGGGCACUGAUGGUGCCCCAACUCUGAGCGAGUCAGCCACCUUUGGAGGAAAAGCUGCUCCCAGCCACCAACGGGAAAACUGAGAAUCGAUUCCAGUCUGGAACGCCAACUGGUAUUUCUAAUCCUGGACGCUCUGGGAGGGCUCUUUGAGGAAAGCAGCAGAGGAGAAUGGAGGAAAACCAGAAACUACUUCAUUAUUAUGGGUAUUCAUAAGUAUUAAUAAAUAAUAACCAUCAAUAAAUAAUAGCAAGUGAAUAAUAACCAUCUGCAUUAAAUGUUAAGAUACCAUUAAGCUCUGCUAUUUAACACUGGCACUUAAAAGUUUGAAAAGAGGUUUUUUUACAAUAACUGAUUAAUCCAAGCUUCACAAAAAUUUAAAAUGUGCAGUUAAUGCCAUGAAAGUAAAUAAAUUUUCUCUUCCAGUUGUGGUGUAGG